ensembl:lncRNA
GUGGGUCCUCCGCAUUGCUGCUCAAACACCUUACCUGAAUCCUUUUCUCCUCCCAGGCUGGAUGUUUGAUAUUCUCAUCAGGCAGUUCUUUAGCAUUCAGGAGCAGCAGUGAAUGUUGCUGAAAAUGUUCCACUGGGAGAUUUCCAUCAAAAAGCUUUUAUCAAGGUGGCUCUGGAUGUUAUCUUGACAGAACUAAAUAAACUAGCAGAGGAAGACAUGGAAGAUCUACUGGAAUAUGAAAGAGAGGAGUUCAGCUUGAUGUUCUCUGACUUGGAAAAAAGAAUUAGCCCUGCCUUCGUCUAUGAAGUUCAUAUGACCGCCUGGCCCCAGCUUGAAAUCAGAAAUGAGCAUUCAGUGCACCCAGGAAAUGAGAAUAUUGGAAC